GGCGGUGCGCCUUAUGCAUGCAAGUCGAGCGAAGCUUUUCAGUAGUUUACUACAGAAAAUGACUGAGCGGCGAACGGGUGAGUAACGCGUGAGCAAUCUACCUUAGUUACAGGGAUAGCCCGAGGAAACUCGGAUUAAUACCUGAUAUUCUUUAUUUCUCGCAUGAGAAUAAAAGGAAAGGUCAGCCGAACUAAGAUGAGCUCGCGUUCUAUCAGCUAGUUGGUGAGGUAAAAGCUUACCAAGGCUACGACGGAUAGCUGGUCUGAGAGGACGAUCAGCCACACUGGGACUGAGACACGGCCCAGACUCCUACGGGAGGCUGCAGCAGGGAAUAUUGUGCAAUGAACGAAAGUUUGACACAGCGACACCGCGUGUGGGAUGACGGAUCUAGGUUUGUAAACCACUUUCAGGAGGGAAGAAAAUGACGGUACCUCCACAAGAAGCCCCGGCCAACUACGUGCCAGCAGCCGCGGUAAUACGUAGGGGGCGAGCGUUGUCCGGAUUUAUUGGGCGUAAAGAGCUCGUAGGCGGUUCAACAAGUCGGUCGUGAAAGUUCAGGGCUCAACCCUGAAAUGUCGAUCGAUACUGUUGUGACUAGGAUACGGUAGAGGUGAGUGGAAUUCCGAGUGUAGCGGUGAAAUGCGUAGAUAUUCGGAGGAACACCAAUUGCGAAGGCAGCUCACUGGGCCGCUAUCGACGCUGAGGAGCGAAAGCUAGGGGAGCAAACAGGAUUAGAUACCCU
rnacentral:rRNA from 1 species